GGAAGAGGAGGGUGGCGUGGGGAUAAGGCUAUCCUGAUGUCAAUGGAAGUUUCGGAUGACACGUGGUGCCAGCUGCUUGAGGGUUUGACAGUUGACACCAGUGGUCGUCACGGAAGAUAAAGCUGCUUCGUCGCCUUCUUCUUCUUUGGAUUAUACGACCCAAUUACAGAAGAUAAAGCCAAACAGUCCAAAUCGAAUUAAAUUUUGGACCCAAUUCGAGUGCCUAUUUUGGGACAGAAACCCUCAAUCAUCAUCGGCCGGUAAGAAGAAGAAGAAUUGAUGAGCUUGAGCUUGAGCUUGAGCUUGAGCUUGAGCUUGAGCAGAGCAACAAUGGCGGCGGAGCCCAAUGGAGGGAAAAUGUAAGGAAAUACAAAGGCAAAUGUAAAAAAAAAAAAAAUUCAGAAAUUAUUGAUCUUCCGUUAAAUUACUACUCCCUCUCCCUACAAAGAUGCUUUCACAGAAACCAAAAAUAACAUUUUUAAGUUUUUAAAAUUUGUCCCAAAAAUAACGGGCUAAUGACAAAUUUGUUAUUAAAA
rnacentral:lncRNA from 1 species